CACACCUUCGAUUUAACGCAUACGGACGUAAUAUGACUUAAACAACAUCCAAUUGAAAUUCAUUAAUAACGAUGAAUUUGUACAAGUAAUUACCAGCUCUGAUAACAAACACUGGAACAAUACGCUAAUCAGCGACCCGGUUUGAAUUUGGCUACCCACAGUUCACUGCGGCGGGUUCUCAGCAGGCCUGCUGGGCCGUGCGUGGCUAUGGAAACAGGACGCGCCUAAUUACACGGUAAAAUCUUUCUCCCGCCCGAACGGAACGAGUCAUUGUACAGUGUCGCUUUCUUCCCCUCCGUCUUUCAACACAGGGCUAGAUUGGCGCUGGCCCCGGGGUUUGUGGGAACCAGGAGAGCCCUUUCACGCAAGCCCUCCUCAGGUCGACAUUAUUACACGGCCAAUUAAGUCAGUUCAGCGGGCUCGAACCUGGGCAGAACAGCAGAGCUGAUUGUUUUCCACCCUUACCCCUCCCCAAACUACGCCUGCAUUACCUACCUUCUUAGUGCCACGCACAUUAAAAUCAACUAAUUUGCUCGACUAAAAUAUGAAGCGCUACUUGUUUGUUUGGAAGGCAUUAUUGCUGGUCAAAUAAUGGCUUGGAUUACAAACAAGCCUGAGGCGAACAGCCGAAAACAGGUGACUUGUUGGUUUUGGAAGGAAAACAAACAUGCGAUGGAGACUAAGGUUCGAGGCAGCUGUGGAUCCUGCACGCUCAGCUGGUGUCACACAAAGAAACAGGUGACGGGGUAGGGAUGUUUGCCCUGCGAGGGUGCGCCGCGUGCCUCUUUCCCUGGAACGAGCUUGCUCGGUAAACCUGCACCUGGCCUGGUGGUCUUGGCAACAUCUGACAACCUCCAGCAGAUGUUCGGCCCUCUUUUGUCGACUCCGCAGGACAAAACUGCCGAAAACAUAUGGAUUAAACGAGCAUACAGUAUGUGCGUUUGGAUGACAAUCUCUGGUUCCUCAUCGCAGAGAUCAUAACUGAUGAAGCUUCGCUCAGUCACCUGAUCUGAGAUGAAUGACGCUUUGGCUGUGUGACAGAAAGGAAGAAAGGGGCACUCAGGCUGGAGGCAGGUUAACGUGAGACUGUUGAUGUUUGACUUCAGUUAACGCUGAAGGCCGCCUGGUGCCGUGCAGAUCCAUAGAUCCUAAACCAACCGGAACAUGAUCCCUGGAACCCUCCCAUUCUCAUGUUGGAUUGGUUUACAGAUGAUUGACAUCUCUUGGCUUGCUCCCAAGAACUUAGGAGUUCAGAAAUGCUUGUGCUAUAGCGACUUCCCACAUGAAUGACCCAUAUAAACAGGAUAUUUUUGUUUCCAUAAUUUUAAUAUUUGAAAUGUGCAGUCUUUAUGAUGUAUUUGAAAUAUUGGAAAUGGGAAUCAUUGGCCACUGGGUUUUAAUCUUCUUAACUGAUAUUUAAAAUCUGACUUAUUUUACUGUCGGUUGGUACUACCACCUGUCAUCUGUCACCUGUCAGCGUUAGUUUCCUUCAGCUGACUGGCUAAACACAACUAACAGGUAAAAAUAUCAAGCUUUUAAUGUGCAGUGUUACAUUUUAUUACACAGCUCCUUGGAAUGCUUCAUUUCGAUUGGCCAGUCACAAUAUUUGCAUGUUUGUUAUUUCCAGAUAACAACUAAUAACACAUGGUAACCCAGAUGCUGC